rnacentral:rRNA from 1 species
AUUGAACGCUGGCGGCAUGCCUUACACAUGCAAGUCGAACGGCAACACGGGAGCAAUCCUGGUGGCGAGUGGCGAACGGGUGAGUAAUAUAUCGGAACGUGCCCAGUCGUGGGGAUAACGUAGCGAAAGCUACGCUAAUACCGCAUACGAUCUAUGGAUGAAAGCGGGGGAUCGCAAGACCUCGCGCGAUUGGAGCGGCCGAUAUCAGAUUAGGUAGUUGGUGAGGUAAAGGCUCACCAAGCCGACGAUCUGUAGCUGGUCUGAGAGGACGACCAGCCACACUGGGACUGAGACACGGCCCAGACUCCUACGGGAGGCAGCAGUGGGGAAUUUGGACAAUGGGCGCAAGCCUGAUCCAGCAAUGCCGCGUGCAGGAUGAAGG